AACCUUGUGAUAAACACAAAGCGAACUAUUCUUUCGCCUUUUACUAAAGAAUACCGUGUGUUUGUCGCUAAAAGCGGUAUACGCUUAUUUUUGAAAGAGUUCUCUCCCAAGAGAUCU
rnacentral:snRNA from 1 species